AGAGUAUAAAGCUGGACUAGUUAUUUGCAGUGCAAUGGAAGAAGACAUGCCAGUCUUUUGUCAAAUAGGUGAUGUACUUCUGCUAUUUACAGAGAAUUUUGAUGACCAUCAUCAUGCAUUCAGAGUAUUACAAAGUGCGGAAAGAUGUCUACU